rnacentral:rRNA from 1 species
UGGGGGAUAUUGCACAAUGGGCGAAAGCCUGAUGCAGCGACGCCGCGUGGGGGAUGAAGGCUUUCGGGUUGUAAACCUCUUUCGCUAUCGAACAAGGCCCGCUUAGGGUGGGUUGAGGGUAGGUGGAGAAGAAGCGCCGGCUAACUACGUGCCAGCAGCCGCGGUAAUACGAAGGGCGCGAGCGUUGUCCGUAAUUAUUGGGCGUAAAGGGCUUGUAGGCGGCUUGUUGCGCCUGCUGUGAAAACGCGGGGCUUAACUUCGCGCGUGCAGUGGGUACGGGCAGGCUUGAGUGUGGUAGGGGUGACUGGAAUUCCAGGUGUAGCGGUGGAAUGCGCAGAUAUCUGGAGGAACACCGAUGGCGAAGGCAGGUCACUGGGCCAUUACUGACGCUGAGGAGCGAAAGCAUGGGUAGCGAACAGG